rnacentral:rRNA from 2 species
AUAAGUUAGAAAGGGCGCACGGUGGAUGCCUUGGCACUAGGAGCCGAUGAAGGACGGGAUUAACACCGAUAUGCUUUGGGGAGCUGUAAGUAAGCUUUGAUCCAGAGAUUUCCGAAUGGGGAAACCCUCUAUCCGUAAUGGGAUAGAAUCUUUACCUGAAUACAUAGGGUACUGAAGGCAGACCCGGGGAACUGAAACAUCUAAGUACCCGGAGGAAGAGAAAGCAAACGCGAUUCCCUGAGUAGCGGCGAGCGAAACGGGAUUAGCCCAAACCAAGAGGCUUGCCUCUUGGGGUUGUAGGACACUCUAUAUGGAGUUACAAAGGAACGGGGUAGACGAAUCGAUCUGGAAAGGUCAGUCGUAGAAGGUAAAAACCCUGUAGUCGAAACUUCGUUCCCUCUUGAGUGUAUCCUGAGUACGGCGGGACACGAGAAAU